rnacentral:rRNA from 1 species
CCUACGGGAUGCUGCAGUGAGGAAUAUUGGUCAAUGGGCGCGAGCCUGAACCAGCCAAGUAGCGUGAAGGAUGACUGCCCUACGGGUUGUAAACUUCUUUUAUACAGGAAUAAAGUGAGGCACGUGUGCCUUUUUGUAUGUAUUUUAUGAAUAAGGAUCGGCUAACUCCGUGCCAGCAGCCGCGGUAAUACGGAGGAUCCGAGAGUUAUCCGGAUUUAUUGGGUUUAAAGGGAGCGUAGAUGGGUUGUUAAGUCGGUUGUGAAAGUUUGCGGCUAAACCGUAAAAUUGCAAUUGAUACUGGCAGCCUGAAGUACAGUUGAGGUGGGCGAAAUGCGUGGUGUAGAGGUGAAAUGCUUAG